rnacentral:rRNA from 1 species
UACAGAGGGUGCAAGCGUUACUCGGAAUUACUGGGCGUAAAGCGCGCGUAGGUGGUUUGUUAAGUUGGAUGUGAAAGCCCCGGGCUCAACCUGGGAACUGCAUCUAAAACUGGCAAGCUAGAGUACGGUAGAGGGUGGUGGAAUUUCCUGUGUAGCGGUGAAAUGCGUAGAUAUAGGAAGGAACACCAGUGGCGAAGGCGACCACCUGGACUGAUACUGACACUGAUGAACGAAAGCCAGGGGAGCAAACGGG